AAGCAUUUCCUUAAUUAAGUCACAUAAAAAAUUAUUGCAUAUGAGAAAUUUGAAGUCUAGGAAAUACGACUCCUUAAUCAAGGCCAUUUAUAGAUUCACUACGGCCAAAAUUAUGGUACAUAGCAUAUAAUGAUUUAAACCAGAAGUGCUACUGAGUCAGAUAAAAGGCGAAGCAUUUCAAACAUGCCAGAACACUAUAUGGAUGUAUAAGUAGGCUUAACACUAUACCACAACAUUCUUAUGGGGAGGGAGAACCUUAAAUACAUGAAUUGUUAUCUCCUCCCACAACCCCUAAAAUAAGAAAGAUGGUUCCCGUUUGUAGGGAGGCGAUCAUUUUGUACUUCUUAAAGUUCUUGUUAGUUUGGCACAAGGUUGUAAAUUGAUUGAAAUUGAUUUGUUUAUGAACGUGGACGUCCAUGAGAAGGCUCAUCUUGAACUAUAAUUUAUGAACAUAGACUUGUUAUUGCAA